GCCAGGCAUGGUUUCGCAUGCCUGUAAUCCCAGCUGCUUGGGAGGCUGAGGCAGGAGGAUUGUUUGAGCCCAGGAGUUCAAGACUGCAGUGAGCUGUGAUCACACCACUGCACUACAGCCUGGGCAACAGAAUGAGACAGCUUGUCUCAA
rnacentral:SRP_RNA from 1 species